UACGUAGGGUGCAAGCGUUGUCCGGAAUUAUUGGGCGUAAAGAGCUCGUAGGCGGUUCGUCGCGUCGGCUGUGAAAUCCCGAGGCUCAACCUCGGGUCUGCAGUCGAUACGGGCGGACUGGAGUUCGGCAGGGGAGACUGGAAUUCCUGGUGUAGCGGUGAAAUGCGCAGAUAUCUGGAGGAACACCGGUGGCGAAGGCGGCGUUCUGGACUGCAACUGACACUGAGGAACGAAAGCCAGGGGAGCAAACGGG
rnacentral:rRNA from 1 species